rnacentral:misc_RNA from 1 species
AAGUCGUAACAAGGUUUCCGUAGGUGAACCUGCGGAAGGAUCAUUAUUGAGAUAGUCAGAACUGACUUAGUUCAGUCCCAACCCAAGCGUUUGAAAAUAUUAGCGGAAUGGGCAGUAAUACAAUCGGCAUGACCGUUUGAAUCCAAGGGCAGCUAUCCACCCGUGUAUAUAUACUCUGUUGCUUUCCGGGCGUCAUACCCCGGAGAGAACCCAACUCUUGAAUUUUAUGGAACGUCUGAGUACUAUAUAAUAGUUAAGA